rnacentral:rRNA from 1 species
AUUGAACGCUGGCGGCAUGCCUUACACAUGCAAGUCGAACGGCAGCACGGGAGCAAUCCUGGUGGCGAGUGGCGAACGGGUGAGUAAUGUAUCGGAACGUACCUUUCAGUGGGGGAUAACGUAGCGAAAGUUACGCUAAUACCGCAUAUUCUGUGAGCAGGAAAGCAGGGGAUCGCAAGACCUUGCGCUGAUUGAGCGGCCGAUAUCAGAUUAGCUAGUUGGUGAGGUAAAGGCUCACCAAGGCGACGAUCUGUAGCGGGUCUGAGAGGAUGAUCCGCCACACUGGAACUGAGACACGGUCCAGACUCCUACGGGAGGCAGCAGUGGGGAAUUUUGGACAAUGGGCGGCAAGCCUGAUCCAGCCAUGCCGCGUGAGUG